UAGGGAAUCUUCGGCAAUGGACGAAAGUCUGACCGAGCAACGCCGCGUGAGUGAAGAAGGUUUUCGGAUCGUAAAGCUCUGUUGUAAGAGAAGAACGGGUGUGAGAGUGGAAAGUUCACACUGUGACGGUAUCUUACCAGAAAGGGACGGCUAACUACGUGCCAGCAGCCGCGGUAAUACGUAGGUCCCGAGCGCUGUCCGGAUUUAUUGGGCGUAAAGCGAGCGCAGGCGGUUAGAUAAGUCUGAAGUUAAAGGCUGUGGCUUAACCAUAGUACGCUUUGGAAACUGUUUAACUUGAGUGCAGAAGGGGAGAGUGGAAUUCCAUGUGUAGCGGUGAAAUGCGUAGAUAUAUGGAGGAACACCGGUGGCGAAAGCGGCUCUCUGGUCUGUAACUGACGCUGAGGCUCGAAAGCGUGGGGAGCGAACAGGAUUAGAUACCCUGGUAGUCCACGCCGUANCGAUGAGUGCUAGGUGUUAGGCCCUUUCCGGGGCUUAGUGCCGCAGCUAACGCAUUAAGCACUCCGCCUGGGGAGUACGACCGCAAGGUUG
rnacentral:rRNA from 1 species